AUAUUAUAUUUUCUUAGAGAAGAAAAUACAUAAAAUUGCAUAAAAAUUAUAAUUUUCCACUACAAAUAUAGUGACAGACCGGCACUGUGACUAUUUCCAUGGUGUCGAUACAUCACUCUAAGAAGCCCAAAGUUUGCGGGCUUGCCUCGGCUUUGUUCGACUUCCAAUUUGCACGUUCUUUAUAUCUUGAAAAUCCCAUUUAGUGCCAUUUGAAUACCAAUUAGAAAUCAAACCCAUAUCACUUGUAUUUUGUGAGAUAUGACCAUUUUAACCUCGAUAUGUCAAAAUUGAGCGACUUUCGUAAAAUACUCAUCACUCUUUCUUCUCAAACCGGAUAAAAGCCAUAUAUCAUAUGGUUGGAAAGCUCUUUUAAAAUUCUACAAAAUCAUAAAAAUAAUUUUUGAAAAUUAUGGAGUUUUAAUUACGAAAAACGGCCUGAAAGUAGACUGUUUCGCAAGAUACCCAUGACGAACUCGUCAUCUCACCUAUUUUGAAUUAUCUCUCCAUUUUAAGCAUAAAUAACUUUAAAUAUGAAUCAUUGGUACCCAAACAGUUUUUUUUUAUGCACAAAAUAUUUUGAAAUAUCUUUUAAAACCUAAUCUCCCUAAAAUACCAGAAAAUAAAGAAAUAGGGAAGAACUUUGAGUCACAUCACUGUUCAAUUUUGUCACAAAUCAAUUCCGUUAACUCUUUUUCAUCAUUAGGCAAUGAUCUAACAGUAAGUCUAAACAUUAUGGCCGGUCAAAAUAGUGUCAGAACUCAAGUGAAUCCAAAUGUGAAAGUGCUAAUUGUGCGUCAAAUCUGACCCUAAUCGAGCAAUUGAGUGUAAUCUAGUGUGAUAUUACAAAAGAAGUUCGGGUUUUUUGGUGCGUUGCGAUGCUGUGAAAGCGCGGUGGGUCCACCGUAAACCCAAUGAAGUGAUCCUUCCAUGGCUUUUCAAGCUAAUCCUCUAUGAAAAAAUCAAGUUCAUGUAUGGAACAAUGAUAACGUAUAUAAGAUGAACUUAGGGUGGCCCACGAAGCCCACACAGAACUGUGUUGGGCCUUAUGGAAUCGUCCCCCACCCGUGUCUGGUGGAUUUUCUUAGUUGUAGGUCUCCUUGAAUGUGUAUUUUUGAAUACACCCGUUACAACAUAGCAAUACAAUUUAGGCUUUAUUAGUAGACUGUCAACGAAUACCACACUUUGAAUCCCUUGAAAUUGUGACUUUUUGUUAAGCAUGAAAAGCAUCAUUUUUGUGACGGUGAGAUUUUGAUAUAUCAAAAUGGUAUGCAUGACAAUUUUUGUUAGCGUACAGAUGGAUGGACGGACGGACGGACGGACGGACCGAUACCGAUAACAAUAACAAUGCAAUCGGUGUUGAAAAGCAUACAAAAAUUAAUUAACUCCGCUAUUUUAUUUUUUAUUUUUUAUUUUUCAAAAAAAGUUGAUAGAUCAUGGGAGGGGAGGACUUGGGUUGUGUGGAAUAUGAAAAGAACCCAUUUGAUUAGAUGUGAGAUUGAUUACGUUUUCCAUUUUAUUUGGUUAUCAAGGACAAGAAGAAUAUUCUGGAGAUGCAUUCCAAACGACAAUAGAGAAAGAGAAUCAUCCAACGCUGCGAUUCAACGAAGGACACGAGAAUCAAAUAAUAAGAACAUCAUCAACCAAACAAGAAUAAAAAAUUAACAACAAAACAAAAACAACAUAUAAGAAAGGGAAAAUAAAACAAUUGAAAUCCAAAAUCCACAUCACAUGAUGAAAAAUGAACCAUAUAUAUAUAUCAGCCUCUGAUGUGCUUGACCUUGUGCCAGCCUUUCUUGCAGGAUUCACCAACAAUCUUCACUCCCUUCUUGAACAGAGUCUUGAGUUCUUUCGCUCUGUCCUUCACCUGCUCCUCAAAUUUCCCCAUUCUUCCAAGAGAGAGAAGAGAGUGAAUGAAGUUGAGAAUUUGUGUUUGCAAAUGCUAAAAUGGUGUUUGAGGACGGAGAAGUGACGAGGGGAUUUUAAGGGCGAGUGGAAUAAUUUUGGGUAAAUUUAAUUGUUGGUCCCUGUAGUUUGAUCAAAGUUUUAUUUUGAUUCUUAUAAUCUUAAUUUAAGUAAUCAAAACCAUUGCAAUUUCAAUCUGGUUUUAAAUAUACUUCUCCUAUCAAUACCCGAUAAAAAUUUGGAUAGAAAGUGAGCUUCUUGGCAAGCCCAAAAAACUCACUUUCCAUCCUAAUUGUGUUAAUGAGUGUUGACAACAGAAAUGCAUUAGAGUUAGAUUGAAACUUUUUUUUUGAUAAUUUGAUAUCUGGUCUAAGGAUUGACCGUCCACUUGUAAAGGGCUUGAUUAAAGCCGGAAAAAAAUCCCGUAUAAACAUAUCCAACUUAAAAAUUGAUUACAACUAUGAGAUUUUAAAUUUGAAUCUUGAAAUUGAGCAAAUCUCCAAGUUUCAUGUUAGACCACCCAACCAACUCCUGUUGGUUAGAAGCAGACUGAAACUACGGGGUCCUAAUUGUUCAAAUUAAAUAUGCAAGGAAAUCUUGUGGGAGUAAUA
rnacentral:lncRNA from 1 species